CAGAAAAUAUUUUUUGGAAAAAUUUCUUGCUGGAACCAUGGGAAAAACAUGCAGUGGGAAGAAAACAACUAAGGACAAAAUAGAUUUAUCAUAUCAAAGGCUUCCUUUCCCUCUCAAAAUAGAUUAAAAGCAGGUCUUAUUUUUAUCAUAAAGAACGUAGGAUCAGAGAAACUUUUGUGGACUAUGGAGUCCAGCUUCUUCCUGUAACUUAACAGGUUUCUUUUUGUACAAAGAGCUAAAUGACAGCAUUAUCCCACUACCCUCCAAAAAACCUGGUUGAUUGAAAGAUGGGUAAAGUAGUCCUUUGGCAGUAAACAACCUUGUUGCAGUAACAAGACUGUGCUCUUCCAUCUGUUCCAUUGAC